AGCUAAGAUAAGCAAAAAAAAAACAAAAACAUGGUUAACAGUAAACCCACACUAAGUUUGUUGAUGAGAAGAAAACCUAAAAAGGAAAGAGAAGCCAGAGAAUGUUCAUUUUCCCAAAUGAUAAGAUUAUAAAUUAACUCUGAACUGAUUCGGGUUAAAGAAGACUCAGCAUGCAGUCACUGCAGGCCGUAUAGUCGGAGCUUAUUAAAAAGUCGGAUGCUUUUUGGUGGAUGAAUUUGUGAGGGGAAAAGCAAGAAAAGCCAAUCACCUAAGGGUGUUCAGGGCUUCACACACUGGUUCAUGCAUGGUGGGUAUGGAGGUGGGUCAUGUGUUAGUUUCUCUCCAGGGAUCCAGGACUUACUAAUCCAUCUCUUCCUUUUGGUUUCAGAUCUACAGCCAGUUACUCCCUCUAUGGACUCGAGAAAAUGAUGAAUGGAAAAGAAACUACAGGAAUUGACAGCAAAUAUAUUUUCCAAAUGAGACACUCUUGUUUACUGAAAGAUCACAAUAAACCUUUUAACCUCACUUACUGAGUACUUUUCACAGCUUUAUUGCCUGUCCUUGGGCAUAACGGAUCUGAACAUACACAGCACUGUGUGAUUCUACACUGCAUAAACACGAAGCAUUGUUGCACGUGUACAUCACAUAAAUAGUUAUCUUCAGAUAUUUCAUGUGCAUAUUUUUAAUUCCCACACAUUUUAUUGCCUUUUAAUCCAUCUUUUUUUUAUUAGUACCCAUUGUUUAUUUUUGUAUCUCCACUUUUCCAAGGUUCUGCUGCUGACAGGUUGCAUUCUGCUCUUCAAUGAGAAACAGAGUUGAGGUCCAAGUUAGAAUCCAAGUUCAAGGAAGUCCAAGGAAGAACCCCAUACUCCAAGACUGACAUGAAAAAGCCAGACUGAAGCUCGCAGGUGAUCACCAGCCUUUUGGAGGAGUGGUCUCUGGUCAUAUAAAACAAAAUUGACCUGUUUGACCAUAAUGAUCAGCGCUAUGUAUGGAGAAAAAAAAUGGGUAAUCUGCAGAACACCAUUCCAGCUGUGAGUCAUGGGGAUGGCAGCAUCAUGUUGUGAGGGUGUUUUCCUGGAAAAGAUACUGGUUCACUUGAGAAAAUAGAUGGCAUCAUGAGGAAGGAGGAUUAUCUAGAAAUACUGAAGCAACACAUCAAGACAUCAGCCAGAAGGUUGGGUUGGAAUUGGGACUUCCAGCAGGACAACUAUCCUAAGCAAACCUCCAAAAUAUUGGAGUGGCCAUCACAAAGCCCUGACAUGAAUCCCAUAGAAAACUGAAACAGCAUGUAUUUACAAGGAGGCCCACAAACCUGAUUGACUUGCACCAGUUCAGGAGGAAGGGGCAAAAAUUCCACCAAAGGAUUGUGAGAAGCUUGUGGAAGCCUGGGGUCAAGUUCAAGCAAAGUGUAUGUAAACUCUUAAGCCACUGAAAAUCUGAUAUAUUAAAUAAAAGCUGAAAUAAAUCUGUCUCUUAGGUACAAUUUUAAAAUGACCUCAUAUGGUCAUAUUCCUCUUUUAUUUAUACUUUCCUAAGGAAUACUUUCUCGCAGUCAGGCACUCCAGCAGAAGACUGGAAUUUAUUUAUUUAUUUGUGAAUCCAUGUGAAUGAACUUUCUCACUACUAUCAUUAAGUGUUUUUUAUUUUAUUUUUAAAGAUGAUACACUAAUUGACUUAACAUAGGAAAUGUAACAUGGUAACAUGAAAUGUGUGGAAUUUAGUUUGAAUGACUUUAGCCUAGGUGUGUAUGUAAACUUUUGGUACCGUAAACCGUAUGGUGUUGUUUGAUAUUGUUUCUCAGCCAAGCACCUGCUUUGAGUCCUCCACAGACAUGAGAGUAAAAGACCUGUUGUCAUUGAGGUAUGUUUUCUUUAAUGAUUCCUUAAACUACUGUGGGACCGAACAAUGUUUUUUAAAAUCAGCACGGCAAUUAAGUAUUGAAGAGCCUUUUGAUUUGUUUGUCUUGAAUACUGUGCUCAGCUCCUUGUCUGAAACUGUGAACGAGAGAGAAAUGGCGUUGCUCUUUUACAAGCAAACACAGAUUUGGUACAUCUAGAUGGUCAUCUGUAGGUGUAUAUGAAUUUGACUAUUUUUUAUUUGUUGUUAUUUCUCACAGACCUUUAGCAGCUAAUCUAACAUCACAGAGAGCAAAUGUCUUUAACAUUCUAGAGGUGUAAUUAGUUUGAUAAGAGUCAUUUUCCCCGAUAAUGGAUUCUGAGAAUUUUCUCCUGAAUAGUGAAUAUAAUUCCUUUCUUGGGCCCACUGUGAAUUUCAGGAUAAGUGAAAUAUGUUCUUUUGGCACAUGUUCUAUUGUAUCAUCUAUAAUUGUAGUCCUUGACUUUCCCACCAAGUCGAUCUUUCAACCAAUGUGUCUCGCUGUUCUUUGUCCUCCCACAAAACCCCUUGACCUCAUACUAUAUACUAAUAACUCUGCACAUUAUUAAUCCUGACAAGCUGAAUGUAAGCUUUGGCAGGUUGGCAUAUUUUCCUAAUUCAUUAAAACAUUUUGGAUGGCAUUCAAAUAACAUAAUUCAAGUGGGACAACAGUGUUUAGGGAAUAAGUAGAGUUAACGCCAAUCAAAAAAAUUCCCUCUUUUAUUUAUACUUUCCUAAGGAAUACUUUCUCGCAGUCAGGCACUCCAGCAGAAGACUGGAAUUUAUUUAUUUAUUUGUGAAUCCAUGUGAAUGAACUUUCUCACUACUAUCAUUAAGUGUUUUUUAUUUUAUACUAUAUUAGUCUACACUAAAAGCCAAGAACAAGAAUCUGAGGCUAUCAUGGGCAUAGACUCACUGAAACUGUCUGAAAAAAUACCAGACUGAAUGUAGGGAACUAGAGGGCAUCACUCUGUAUAAUCAUCUAACAUGACUGUCACUCUCUAUAUUCCAUCAGCUCUAUAUUCCAUCAGCUCUAUAUUUCAUCAUCUCUAUAUUCUCUUUCCUCUAUAUUCUCUUUCCUCUAUAUUUCAUCAGCUCUAUAUUCCAUUAUUUCUAUAUUCCAUCAUAUUUCAUCAGCUCUAUAUUCCAUCCGCUGUAUAUUCCUAUAGCUCUAUAUUCCAUCAUAUUUCAUCAUCUCUAUAUUCUCUUAGCUCUAUAUUCAAUUAUUUCUAUAUUCCAUCAUAUUUCAUCAUCUCUAUAUUCUCUUAGCUCUAUAUUCCAUCAGCUCUAUAUUCUCUUAGCUCUAUAUUCCAUCAGCUCUAUAUUCCAUCAU